UACAGAGGUCCCAAGCGUUGUUCGGAUUCACUGGGCGUAAAGGGUGCGUAGGUGGUGAGGUAAGUCGGAUGUGAAAUCUCCGAGCUCAACUCGGAAAUGGCAUUGGAAACUACCUUGCUAGAGGGUUGGGAGGGGGGACUGGAAUACUUGGUGUAGCAGUGAAAUGCGUAGAUAUCAAGUGGAACACCAGUGGCGAAGGCGAGUCCCUGGACAACUCCUGACACUGAGGCACGAAAGCUAGGGGAGCGAACGGG
rnacentral:rRNA from 1 species